rnacentral:rRNA from 1 species
GAUGAACGCUAGCGGGAGGCCUAAUACAUGCAAGUCGAACGGUAAGGUCCCUUCGGGGAUACACGAGUGGCGGACGGGUGCGUAACGCGUACGAAACAUACCUUCAACAGGGAGAUACCUCCGGGAAACUGGAAAUAAUACCCCAUAGUAUUGAGAUAUCGCAUGAUAUUUCAAUUAAAGCUUUGGCGGUUGAAGAUUGUCGUGCGUCUGAUUAGCUAGUUGGUGAGGUAACGGCUCACCAAGGCGACGAUCAGUAGCUGGUCUGAGAGGAUGAUCAGCCACACUGGAACUGAGACACGGUCCAGACUCCUACGGGAGGCAGCAGUAGGGAAUAUUGGACAAUGGGCGGAAGCCUGAUCCAGCCAUCCCGCGUGUAGGAUAAGGCCCUAUGGGUUGU